rnacentral:rRNA from 1 species
GACGAACGCUGGCGGCGUGCCUAAUACAUGCAAGUCGAACGAGUGGCGGACGGGUGAGUAACACGUGGGUAACCUACCCUUUACUCGGGGAUAGCCUUUCGAAAGAAAGAUUAAUACCCGAUAUAAAGGAUGGGGAUGCGUUCCAUUAGGUUGUUGGUGAGGUAACGGCUCACCAAGCCUUCGAUGGAUAGGGGUUCUGAGAGGAAGGUCCCCCACAUUGGAACUGAGACACGGUCCAAACUCCUACGGGAGGCAGCAGUGGGGAAUAUUGGUCAAUGGGCGCUAGCCUGAUGCAGCCAUGCCGCGUGUGUGAAGAAGGCUUCGGGUUGUAAAGCACUUUCAGCGGGGAGGCGUUACCCGCAGAAGAAGCACCGGCUAACUCCGUGCCAGCAGCCGCGGUAAUAC